rnacentral:rRNA from 1 species
GACAGAGGGGGCAAGCGUUGCUCGGAAUCACUGGGCGUAAAGGGCGCGUAGGCGGGAUGGCAAGUCGGUCGUGAAAUCCUUCGGCUCAACCGAAGAACGUCGGCCGAUACUGCCGUUCUUGAGGGAUGCAGAGGAGAUUGGAAUUCCCGGUGUAGCGGUGAAAUGUGUAGAGAUCGGGAGGAACACCGGUGGCGAAGGCGGGUCUCUGGGCUGACACUGACGCUCAUGCACGAAAGCGUGGGGAGCAAACAGG